UACGUAGGUGGCAAGCGUUGUCCGGAUUUAUUGGGCGUAAAGCGCGUGCAGGCGGCUGGCUCAGUCCGGUGUGAAAUCUCUCGGCUCAACCGGGAGGGGUCAUUGGAUACUGGUCGGCUCGAGGGAGGUAGAGGAGUGUGGAAUUCCCGGUGUAGUGGUGGAAUGCGUAGAUAUCGGGAGGAACACCAGCGGCGAAGGCGGCACUCUGGGCCUUUCCUGACGCUGAGGCGCGAAAGCGUGGGGAGCGAACCGG
rnacentral:rRNA from 1 species